rnacentral:rRNA from 1 species
UACAGAGGUGGCAAGCGUUGUUCGGAAUUACUGGGCGUAAAGCGCGUGUAGGCGGCCCACUAAGUCUGAUGUGAAAGCCCGGGGCUCACCCCCGGAAGUGCAUUGGAAACUGGUGGACUCGAGUCCCGGAGAGGAGAGUGGAAUUCCUGGUGUAGCGGUGAAAUGCGUAGAUAUCAGGAGGAACACCAGUGGCGAAGGCGGCUCACUGGCCCGGUACUGACGCUCAUGUGCGAAAGCGUGGGGAGCAAACAGG